ensembl:misc_RNA
UGGAAACAGUGGAUUUCAUUCUCACAGAACAGGAACAACAUAGCCAGUGGCAGUACAACUUUUCUACAUUGCCCUGCCAAUAUACUUCAACCCUGAGCUGACCUGCAGAAAUCAUCUUUAAAGUAAGAGGUUUUUACAAUGAAGUACUUAUUCCAGUAUUACCAACG